rnacentral:rRNA from 1 species
AUUGAACGCUGGCGGCAGGCUUAACACAUGCAAGUCGAGCGAGUGGAGGACGGGUGAGUAAUGUCUGGGAAACUGCCUGAUGGAGGGGGAUAAAUACUGGAACCGGUAGAUAAUACCGCAUACCAUCAGAUGUUCUCAGAUGGGAUUGGCUAGUAGGUGGGGUAAUGGAUCCCCUAGGCUACGAUCCCUAGCUGGUCUGAGAGGAUGCCCAGCCACACCGGAACUGAGACACGGGCCAGACUCCUGUGGGAGUCAGCAGUGGGGAAUAUUGCACAAUGGGCGCGAGCCUGAUGCAGCCAUGCCGCGUGUGUGAAGAAGGCCUUCGGGUUGUAAAUCACUGUCAGCGGGGAGGCGUUACUCGCAGAAGAAGCACCGGCUAACUCCGUGCCAGCAGCCGCGGUAAUUC